UCUGCUUAAAUAAGAAGGAGAGUACAUUUACUUACACAUCCACAGCAACGCGUCUUCCUUCUGACCUGAGCAGAGCCUCAGAGGAAUGAAGAUCUGCAUCACUGCAGUGACACUGCACUGUCCUUUCUUAUGUACCCAUCCUCUAAUCUGAUUUAAAACCCUGAAAAAUGCAUUGCUAGUGAUAUCUUCCGUUUAAUUUUAUUGCUGUCUUUGCAGUUCAACUCACUGUUGAAUUCCAACUGACCCGAGGUUUUAAAUCUGUUCUGUAAAACCCACUGUUAUAUGCUGUACCACAGAAGUAUCUGUUGAACUGUUGUCUCACCUCACGUAACUCAUUUUUCACGUCUUCGCAGUCACUGCCCCUUCCAUUCCCACAGCCCAGGAACACCCCCAGCUAUCAGCUACUCCAAACCCCAGCAGCAAACUCAGGCAAAGGCUGCAGUUAUUCUGCUAUCCCGAUGCUGUGGCUGGGGCUGCCCUGUGGUGGCGGUGCUGCCUGAGGCACAGCUCAGCUCCAUGUCUGUCAGCCAAAGCUUUGGCCUGUGAUCUGGAUUCAGUGAACUCCUGAUUACCUCACACGUUUAAAGGCAUUUAGUUUUAGAUCAGUAUCCAAGAUUAUAACGUCACCUACUGCCACAUACAGCACAAUCAGCAGUUCAGGUCAGUGCUGGACCUGUUGUGCUGUGCAGGCAAUGAGCACCUUCAGCAGGUGCUGCUUCUGCUGCGGCCAGCUGUGGGAGCACGUCUUACCUUCUCCUGUUUCUGUUUUUCACUGCAUAGUACCGUCAACGAAUUCGUGAUCUUUUUCAAAUCAUCAAUUUCCACUGCAGAAAAGAAAAAAAGAGAUUCCUCAUCAGUACUGUGCUCACAUAUCCCAACAUCACAGCUCUCUCAUGGCUGUAGAGGGAUGGGAGGGCUGGCGCAGAAGGGAAGGGUGCAAAUUAAGAGUUGGUGUACACAGUCUUAACAGGGAGACACUCGAACAACUGGAGCAAUAUCAGUAUGCAGGAGGUAAAAUAUCGACACAAACAAAAAGGAGCAGUGCAGUGUCAAUGUUAAAUUGCCCCACAGGCUGUGAGUCCUUCACUUCAGCUCUGGGAUCACACAGCACUGCUGCAGGCAGCCCGGGCUCCUGUGUGUGCACAGCAUUACAGCACUGAGCCACCACGUGGCUGAAGGGCAGCAUGAGCAGAGCACAGCAAAAGGGCUCAAACAACGAAUCCACCAGCUGCCAACCAGAGCAGGGCAAAAACGGGACUGUAAGUUACUUUAUCUCUGUGUGGUCACAGGCUGAACUCCAGAACAAUUAACCUCACACUCUGUGAAUUACAACAUCUCUCUUUUAUAGCAGUCCUCCCAGCAGAGCUGCUGCCAUUACCUGGCUCAGAGAAACACUGAUGUUCCAGAAACUGUUUCAAGAGAGACAGAUGGGCCAGUCCUUAACACCAACAGCCCCAGGUGAGAAGCACAGGACUGACAUUUGCUUCAGCACAUCAGCCCAGCAUCUCCAGAGCUCUGCUCAGCCCCACAGACAACCGACAACCAACGCAGCCCUCUGCGUUUCUGAGCCCACGAACAAACAGGAAUUACCCUUUUUUUAAGCUCCUCUUGCUUUUUCUUCUGUUGCUUUUCUUUUUCUUUUAUCUUUUCUGCUAUUUUCUUUUUUUCUGACACUUUGGGUUCUGUAGGACAUUAAACAAAACGGCAUUGA